AACCUGGCGGCGAGUGGCGAACGGGUGAGUAACAUAUCGGAACAUACCCGUAGAGUGGGGGAUAACGUAGCGAAAGUUACGCUAAUACCGCAUACGCACUAAAGGUGGAAAUGGGGGGAUCUUCGGACCAAAAGAUUUAUCGCCCUGAGAUAAGCCCGCGUAGGAUUAGCUAGUUGGUGAGGUAAAGGCUCACCAAGGCGACGAUCCUUAGCUGGUCUGAGAGGAUGAUCAGCCACACUGGGACUGAGACACGGCCCAGACUCCUACGGGAGGCAGCAGUGGGGAAUAUUGGACAAUGGGCGCAAGCCUGAUCCAGCAAUGCCGCGUGCAGGAUGAAGGCCUUCGGGUUGUAAACUGCUUUUGUACGGAACGAAACGGUGAGCUCUAAUACAGUUUGCUAAUGACGGUACCGUAAGAAUAAGCACCGGCUAACUACGUG
rnacentral:rRNA from 1 species